ensembl:lncRNA
GGCCUAGUGGUUAGAGUGUAGGGACGGCAGGUAGCCUAGUGGUUAGAGUGUAGGGACGGCAGGUAGCCUAGUGGUUAGAGUGUAGGGACGGCGGGUAGCCUAGUGGUUAGAGUGUAGGGACGGCAGGUAGCCUAGUGGUUAGAGUGUAGGGGCGGCAGGUAGCCUAGUGGUUAGAGUGUAGGGACGGCAGGUAGCCUAGUGGUUAGAGUGUAGGGACGGCAGGUAGCCUAAUGGUUAGAGUGUAGGGACGGCAGGUAGCCUAGUGGUUAGAGUGUAGGGACGGCAGGUAGCCUAGUGGUUAGAGUGUAGGGACGGCAGGUAGCCUAGUGGUUAGAGUGUAGGGACGGCAGGUAGCCUAGUGGUUAGAGUGUAGGGACGGCAGGUAGCCUAGUGGUUAGAGUGUAGGGACGGCAGGUAGCCUAGUGGUUAGAGUGUAGGGGCGGCAGGUAGCCUAAUGGUUAGAGUGUAGGGACGGCAGGUAGCCUAGUGGUUAGAGCGUUGGG